GCACCAUUUCUUCCCGCAGGUGCACUCAGAGACACACAGAGAAUUCAGUCUGCUGUCAAGCGCACAGGUGCACUCAGAGACACACAGAAGAUUCAGUCUGCUGUCAAGCGCACAGAAAGGAACCAUUGCCAGCAAGAAGACUCACCAUUGGAAGGCUGUGGGAGAAUCUUUUCUGAAGGUGCCGUCUUGUCAGGACAACUACAUUCGUACAAGUGAAAAAAGGCUGCCAAAAAUCACGUGAGAUCAAGUGAGAUCACUUUUGCUCUCAUGAGCACUCAGAGCAAAAUUUGUAGUGGACUAAUAUCCAGACCCCACAAUGACCGCAGAGCUGACAAAAGUGCUGGAGAACACUAUGGACAACCUCACGGGGGCCGACUUUAAGAGGUUUAAGCGCAACCUUCGGGACCAGAGCAAAAUCCCAUGGGGAAAGCUGGAAAAGGCCGACACAGACGAAACUGUGGACUUGAUGGUGGAGAUGUGUGCCACAGAAGUUGGGGACAUCAUGUUGACCAUCUUGAAGAAGAUGAAUCUCAACCAGUUGGCCAUGAACUUGGAGAGAGAUCUGGGAAAAUUGGGAGGCCAGCAGUGUUCCCCAGGUCAGACCGGAGGGGGUGGAGGGGUCAACGUGAACGCCACUGCUCACCCUGGAGGGACGGUGAAAGCCCCAGCCAUGUCCGGCUGCACCUUCAGUGGUCCUGUCCACUUCAACUGAUGAAGAAGGCCUGUGCCACAGCAAGAAGGGGGUAAUGGCCCACUUUUAGAUGUU